UUAGGCAUGCAGUCGCGGGAAUCCCAGCAAUGGGGGAACCGGCGUAAGGGGCAGUAAGGCGUGGGUACCCACCGCGGGGUCCGGGAUAGCCGUCCGAGAGGGCGGGUAAUACCGGAUGACCUCGGGAGAGCAAAGCUCCGGCGCCCUGUGAGGGGCCCACGUGAUAUUAGCUAGUUGGCGGGGUGACGGCCCACCAAGGCGGAGAUGUCUAGCGGGUGUGAGAGCACGACCCGCGCCACUCGCACUGAGACACUGGCGAGACACCUACGGGUGGCUGCAGUCGAGGAUCUUCGGCAAUGCGCGCAAGCGCGACCGAGCGACGCCGCGUGGGCGAUGAAGGCCUUCGGGUUGUAAAGCCCUGUCGAGGGGGAGAAAAGAGCAAUCUUGAUCUAUCCCUGGAGGAAGCUCGGGCUAAGUUCGUGCCAGCAGCCGCGGUAAGACGAACCGAGCGAACGUUGUUCGGAAUCACUGGGCUUAAAGGGCGCGUAGGCGGGCUGCCAAGUUUGGGGUGAAAUCCUCCGGCUCAACCGGGGAAGUGCCUUGAAUACUGGCGGUCUGGAGGGGGGUAGGGGCGUGCGGAACCAACGGUGGAGCGGUGAAAUGCGUUGAUAUCGUUGGGAACUCCGGUGGCGAAGGCGGCACGCUGG
rnacentral:rRNA from 1 species